CAUUGCUUUCUGCAUCCAUCCAUCAAUGGACACUGAAUCAUCUCAUCUUCUGGCAAUUGUGAAUGUGCAGAACAGGAUGGCUUCGGACAGGCUCAGCUGGUCCUGGAUCUCCUGCUGGCCCCGGCACUUGACAAUCAUGUAACCCUUCUUCAGGUGGAACACGAGGUUCCGCACCACGUCCACAACCUUGUCUUCAGUUCCUUUGUCCACCAGAUCAGGCUUCGUCAAGAUUCCUGCGAGCCAGAUGUAUUUGGGGAGAGAACGUGCUCAGUCACGAGGCAGAGGUGAACGAACAACUGCUCACGCCCCCGGCCUCCCAGGGUUUCCUCCCAUCCUUGCUUGAGGACAGGCCAUAGCCCCUGCAGAACCAUGGGGGCAGUGGAGCCCCGCUCCAGAAAAGAACUCCACGACAAGCCGCGUGAAGGCAGGGAUGCCUCCCAGAACAGCAUGUGGCUCUCCCCAAGCUCCUUCACCCGGGUCCACUGUAGAACACGCCACGUUUUGUUUAUCCCUUGAGUUAUGGACAUCCCAUCUCAAAUGCAUUCUUAAUGAGUA
rnacentral:lncRNA from 1 species